rnacentral:rRNA from 1 species
UACGGAGGGUGCAAACGUUGCUCGGAAUCAUUGGGCGUAAAGCGCACGUAGGCGGUUUGUUAAGUCGGGUGUGAAAGCCCUGGGCUCAACCCAGGAAGUGCAUUCGAAACUGGCAAGCUUGAAUAUGGAAGAGGGUCGCGGAAUUCCCGGUGUAGAGGUGAAAUUCGUAGAUAUCGGGAGGAACACCAGUGGCGAAGGCGGCGACCUGGGCCAAUAUUGACGCUGAGGUGCGAAAGCGUGGGGAGCAAACAGG